rnacentral:rRNA from 1 species
GACGAACGCUGGCGGCGUGCCUAAUACAUGCAAGUCGAGCGAAUCAUUGGGAGCUUGCUCCUGAUGGUUAGCGGCGGACGGGUGAGUAACACGUGGGCAACCUGCCUGUAAGACUGGGAUAACACCGGGAAACCGGUGCUAAUACCGGAUAAUUCUUUUCCACACAUGAGGGAAAGCUGAAAGUCGGUUUUUAGCUGACACUUACAGAUGGGCCCGCGGCGCAUUAGCUAGUUGGUGAGGUAACGGCCCACCAAGGCGACGAUGCGUAGCCGACCUGAGAGGGUGAUCGGCCACACUGGGACUGAGACACGGCCCAGACUCCUACGGGAGGCAGCAGUAGGGAAUCUUCCGCAAUGGACGAAAGUCUGACGGAGCAACGCCGCGUGAGUGAUGAAGGCCUUCGGGUCGUAAAACUCUGUUGUUAGGGAAGAACAAGUAUCGGAGUAACUGCCGGUACCUUGACGGUACCUAACCAGAAAGCCACGGCUAACUACGUGCCAGCAGCCGCAGUAA